GAUGAACGCUAGCUACAGGCUUAACACAUGCAAGUCGAGGGGCAGCAUUUUAGUUUGCUUGCAAACUAAAGAUGGCGACCGGCGCACGGGUGAGUAACACGUAUCCAACCUGCCGAUAACUCGGGGAUAGCCUUUCGAAAGAAAGAUUAAUAUCCGAUAGUAUAUUAAAACCGCAUGGUUUUACUAUUAAAGAAUUUCGGUUAUCGAUGGGGAUGCGUUCCAUUAGUUUGUUGGCGGGGUAACGGCCCACCAAGACUACGAUGGAUAGGGGUUCUGAGAGGAAGGUCCCCCCACAUUGGAACUGAGACACGGUCCAAACUCCUACGGGAGGCAGCAGUGAGGAAUAUUGGUCAAUGGACGAGAGUCUGAACCAGCCAAGUAGCGUGAAGGAUGACUGCCCUAUGGGUUGUAAACUUCUUUUAAUAUGGGAAUAAAGUAUUCCACGUGUGGGAUUUUGUAUGUACCAUAUGAAUAAGGAUCGGCUAACUCCGUG
rnacentral:rRNA from 1 species